AUUGAACGCUGGCGGCGUGCCUAACACAUGCAAGUCGAGCGGUAACAGGUGUAGCAAUACAUGCUGACGAGCGGCGGACGGGUGAGUAACGCUUGGGAAUCUGCCUAUUAGUGGGGGACAACCCGGGGAAACUCGGGCUAAUACCGCAUACGCUCUACGGAGGAAAGCCGGGGACCGCAAGGCCUGGCGCUAAUAGAUGAGCCCAAGUCGGAUUAGCUAGUUGGUAGGGUAAUGGCCUACCAAGGCGACGAUCCGUAACUGGUCUGAGAGGACGACCAGUCACACCGGAACUGAGACACGGUCCGGACUCCUACGGGAGGCAGCAGUGGGGAAUAUUGGACAAUGGGCGAAAGCCUGAUCCAGCGACGCCGCGUGGGUGAAGAAGGCCUGCGGGUUGUAAAGCCCUUUCAGUGGGGAAGAAAAGCCUCGACC
rnacentral:rRNA from 1 species